GACUUUGGAACUUACCGUGGCUAGAAUGUAAAGUUUCACUAACAAUUGCUGGAUAAAGGCUGGAAGGAGAGGGGACAAAAAAGUUAUAUGUUUUUUACAACAUUCUUUGAAGUACCUUGAAGUAUCAUAUAAAUACCAUGAAAUGAAUAUGGCACUCUUUCUGUACCACAGUAGCCUAUAUACCUAUAGUAAAAUACCAUGGUGUCAGUAUUUUUAGUCGUACAAAGAUUAUUUGACAAUAUUAACAUAUAAUUUGAAAAUGAAACUUUAAAUUCUCAUUAAAGUUAGGCCAUCUGGUUUAACCCAUAUUUUUUAAACAUGAUAACACUUAUAUGUUCUGUUAUAAAUAUGUAUUUUUCUUUUCUUUUCUUUUACUAUUUUAUUUCAUUUUAUUUUAUUCUUUGUGUUAUGAGACGUAGCCUACUCAUUGCUCCAGUUCGCACUUCUUUCAAGUUAAAAGAAGUGUAUUGUUGAAAUAAUGAACGCCUUCUGUGUGUACGGACCCUUUCUCUCCAUUCCUUGUAUUAUUUUCUGUGAUGGUGUGCGAUACCUUUGGUUGCCAGUAGGCGGCAAAAGAGGACGGUGAAUUUUCCAAUGGUUAACGAUUUAUUUGUAUGGGAUUCGCUUCACUUUUCAAAUCCACCGAGAACUCGUGCAGUCUGAAAGUCUUUGCACCGCGCUGCUGGAAUUGUCAAUGAGGACAUUUACCAUUUUACAUGAACCUCAGCAUGACGUGGACUGUGUUUUACCAGUGGUCUGUCAGUUUGAAAUACCUGUAAGGCGUUUUAGUUUCUCAUUUGUAAGUCAAAAUGAAAAAUGAAAUAUUGAUAUGGAGAGAUUUUAAACGGGAUAUCCAUCGAUUCGGUCUGUUUUAUUACGUCUGCGCCUCUGAUCGGCCUCAUGCUGUUGUCACAUACCAGCAGUGUUACUGAAGCCUCAAACAUUCAAGCUGAUGCCUGCAUAUUGAGAUGCACUUCAGUGAAGGCUGGUAGACAGCUGCCAUCCGGUCUAGACCGAGUAGCUCCACUCUUAUCAAGAUCAAAGCACAUGCUUGCACUGAACGCUGGGAAAUGUAUGUGAGAGAGAUGCAAGGGAUGGAGUGGUAAGCCAAAAUGUGAGGUGAAAUAUGAAAUUAAACAUGUAGCCUACCAUGUGGAUUAUUUAGUUUUUACAAAGUUGCUGUUUUCUGAAUUUUUUGACGAUUUCUGUCCCAUUACAACCUUUUUUUCUGUAGAGAAAAAUGCCAUAAUGUUGCUUAUCUUCAUACACAUCCACACUCAUUCCACAAGCAUUCAGCCUCCUCAAACAUGACCCUGACAUAUAAGCCUGAAAUAGACACCUACUUAGACAUGACAUCAGCCAGUGUUUUAGCCAAACACACACACGCACAUUCAGUACACGUCUGCUGAGCCAAAUGACCUGCGUUUAUAAGUCUAGUGGGGAAAUCUCUGGCAGCUGUGCGAAGGCAACGAGGAUGCAGAUGUAAGAGUGUAUGUGUGCGUGUUAAAAGCCUGCUUCUGGCAGGAUCGCUUCUAUAAGUGUGUGUAAAAUCAACCUUUAGGAUUGCACACCUGACAGAAACCUGCAUGUUGAAGGUGUUAGAUCUGCUGAAGGAAAUGCAGAGGAGAGGAUGGCUUUUACUAAAAUGCUUUUAUAUGGUUAAGGACUAGAAACCCAUUAAUAGCACUUGUCUUUUUUUAGCUUUUCCAUAGUGCAGCAAAUGAAGAACACCUGGAAUCAUGCCAUUUUUAACAUCCACCUGAUGUGCUUGAGUAUAACUUCAUACAUGAUGUUGUCUUUCUGUAGUUUGGGUGGUUUCAUAAGCAAAGAUGCUUUUACUGAACCACAUAAAAUCUACUAAUUUUCUUUAUACAUAUGUGUUUAGAAAGUGGUUCUUGGAAAGCAAUGUAGUGCUCUAAAUCUUAAAUGCAUCAAAGUUGAGUGUAGUGUCUCAUGAACUGAAUUAAUGUGUGAAGGGUAUCAAAUGUUAAUUUAAAUCAGUGAAUAUAGAAGGACUGGCAUUUCCAAUUCUUUAAGCAUGCUUUAGUCUCUGACACAAUGAAUGGCAAAUUUAUGUGCUUUUGAAACGAAAAAAAAAAAAAAAAAAAAAAAAAAGGUAUAACUCACAAAAUAAAAGUUAAGUUUAUUGUUGAACAACAAACUCCACACAUACAACAAACAGGCCAAGGUAAAACAAAUAAUGCAGACAAAACAAAGUCAAAAGAAACCAAAACUCCUUUUUUCUUUGGCCUAGCCCUCCCAUACAAAAACUAGUUUAUGGUACAACUAGUUAUGGUACAACUAAAGUUCAUACAUAAAAUUUACUGGAAUGCUCUGAGUUCAAUGGCUGUUGAUUUUAUACAUGUUGUCUUAAAUGUUGAAAUAUUGAGACAUGGUCAAACAAG